AACCAGAUGGUCGCAUACUUUUAGUAUGAGGAAAGUCCGAGCUCCAUAGAGCAGGGUGCUGGAUAACGUCCAGUGGAGGCGACUCUAAGGAAAGUGCAACAGAAAUAAACCGCCUAUUUAUAGGUAAGGAUGGAAAGGUAAGGUAAGAGCUUACCGCUUCUUUGGCGACAAAGAAGGCUCUGUAAACCCCACCUGGUGCAAGAACAUUGGAACAUAUAAGGUUGCUCGCCUGUUCCAAAAAAGUUCGCAAGAGGCUAUUGGUAACAAUAGCACUAGAUAGAUGACCAUCAAAUACAGAACUCGGCUUAUAGGUUUGCUUAU
rnacentral:RNase_P_RNA from 1 species